GUGUCUGGUGGGUAGUUUGACUGGGGCGGUCUCCUCCUAAAGAGUAACGGAGGAGCACGAAGGUUGGCUAAUCCUGGUCGGACAUCAGGAGGUUAGUGCAAUGGCAUAAGCCAGCUUGACUGCGAGCGUGACGGCGCGAGCAGGUGCGAAAGCAGGUCAUAGUGAUCCGGUGGUUCUGAAUGGAAGGGCCAUCGCUCAACGGAUAAAAGGUACUCCGGGGAUAACAGGCUGAUACCGCCCAAGAGUUCAUAUCGACGGCGGUGUUUGGCACCUCGAUGUCGGCUCAUCACAUCCUGGGGCUGAAGUAGGUCCCAAGGGUAUGGCUGUUCGCCAUUUAAAGUGGUACGCGAGCUGGGUUUAGAACGUCGUGAGACAGUUCGGUCCCUAUCUGCCGUGGGCGCUGGAGAACUGAGGGGGGCUGCUCCUAGUACGAGAGGACCGGAGUGGACGCAUCACUGGUGUUCGGGUUGUCAUGCCAAUGGCACUGCCCGGUAGCUAAAUGCGGAAGAGAUAAGUGCUGAAAGCAUCUAAGCACGAAACUUGCCCCGAGAUGAGUUCUCCCUGAGACUACGAGUCUCCUGAAGGAACGUUGAAGACGACGACGUUGAUAGGCCGGGUGUGUAAGCGCAGCGAUGCGUUGAGCUAACCGGUACUAAUGAACCGUGAGGCUUAACCUU
rnacentral:rRNA from 1 species